rnacentral:rRNA from 1 species
UCAGGAUGAAUGCUGGCGGCGUGCAUAACACAUCAAGUCGAACGGAACAAAGGGCUUCGGUUCUUGUUAGUGGCGGACGGGUGAGUAACGCGUGAGCAAUCUGCCUUUGACUGGGGGAGUAACAGAGGGAAACUUCUGCUAAUACCGCAUAACGCAGCGAAGCCGCAUGACUUUGCUGCCAAAGAUUUAUUGGUCAAAGAUGAGCUCGCGUCCGAUUAGAUAGAUGGCGGGGUAACGGCCCACCAUGUCGACGAUCGGUAGCCGGACUGAGAGGUUGAACGGCCACAUUGGAACUGAGAGACGGUCCAGACUCCUACGGGAGGCAGCAGUGGGGAAUAUUGGGCAAUGGGCGAAAGCCCUGACCCAGCGACGCCGCGUGAGGGAAGAAGGUCUUCGGAUUGUAAACCUUAGUUGGCAGGGAAGAAGAAAGUGACGGUACCUGCAGAGAAAGCCACGGCUAACUACGUGCCAGCCGCGGC